GAUGAACGCUGGCGGCGUGCCUAAUACAUGCAAGUCGAGCGAACGGACGAGAAGCUUGCUUCUCUGAUGUUAGCGGCGGACGGGUGAGUAACACGUGGAUAACCUACCUAUAAGACUGGGAUAACUUCGGGAAACCGGAGCUAAUACCGGAUAAUAUUUUGAAACGCAUGGUUCAAAAGUGAAAGACGGUCUUGCUGUCACUUAUAGAGGGAUCCGCGCUGCAUUAGAUAGUUGGUAAGGUAACGGCGUACCAAGGCAACGAUGCAUAGCCGACCUGAGAGGGUGAUCGGCCACCCUGGAACGGAGACACGGUCCAGACUCCUACGGGAGGCAGCAGUAGGGAAUCUUCCGCAAUGGGCGAAAGCCUGACGGAACCACGCCGCGUGAGUGAUGAAGGUCUUCGGAUCGUAAAACUCUGUUAUUUGGGAAGAACAUAUGUGUAAGUAACUGUGCACAUCUUGACGGUACCUAAUCAGAAAGCCACGGCUAACUACGUG
rnacentral:rRNA from 1 species